GUUGAUAAAUAAUGUUCUUAUAUAUUUUUAAGAGAGUAUAUUUGAUUUUAAAAUUACUCUACUCUUCAAUUUUAUCAAAAUAUCUAUUCAUAUCUAUCCUUGUUUCUUUAUAAAAUCCUAGUUUCACUAAAUUCCUAAUUAAAAACCUAAUUUUACCCUAAAUUCACAAAACACACGCACAAACAGAAUGGGAAAGAAAGGAAACAGGGGAGCUCGAGGGAGAAAAGGGGGAGACGAGAGACUGAGAAACAGGGGAAGGGGGGAGUAGCGCUGGUGGGUGUCUCUGCCACCGUGGCUGCUGUUGCUGUCGAAUAGAAGAGGGAGGGAGGCUGUCGCACUUCUAGCUGCCGCUGAAGCUCCCCUCACCACUGUCAACGUUGGUUAGGGCAGAGGAGAAGAGGAAGGAUAACGGAGAAGUGAGACUGACGGGGAGGGUAAUACGGUUGUUGUUGAUUUGGAGCUGCUACAAGAACGGCGUUUCCUGCUUCUAAUCGCUGUCCUUUUGAUUUUUGGAGUUGCCGUGGAUGGAGCUUGUAAUCAGAGAAAGCAAGCUGCUGCCACCAACUCUUAAUUCAGCCAGUGUCUUUCUCCUUGUUCUGAUUUCAAUUUUCCUAUUUUUGAAACCCCCCUUUCUGGCACCUAUUUCCUGUUACAAUUAGGUUGAGUAUUGAAGCUGGUGCUGCCAUGGGACGGUUGAAGCUGUUACUGAUUCAGAUUUUGCUAUCUGGAGCUGAAAUUGCUUUGGAUUCUUAUCCAAUUUGAAUCCUCUAUCUUACUGCAACCAUGGUCAGUGCCGCGAAGGCUAAUACCGUUGCUGUUCCGGUUGCGUGAGAGUUACCGCUGCUGCCUUGAAACUAAAAGAGAAGAGAGUUGUUACGUUAAAGUAUGCGAUUGCGACAUCGAGUGACACAGGUUUGAAGACGCAAUUUGAAGCUGCGAGCGAUUAGUAGGUUUUCUUUAUGGUUUUAAUUGCUUUCAUAGAGUCCCCUCGCUCUUUUCCUUUGAAGUUUU